AGCAUGUGGUAUUUUUAGUGCCAGAUUAGGUGUUUGGUGACCCAUGAGGAUUUGAUUACCAGGUUUAUCGGGCUCAAAGCGAGGUGAUCAGUCUGAAAAUUGACCCCGUAAAUCUCCACCCAGCAUGCAUGACGCCUGGGUUCUGCACACCUGAAUCAGCGCAAGACCUUAUCACCUCAUCAAGAGACGUUAUUUUGACUGUGCAGUUGUUGAAUGUUCCGUACAGGUGAGGGGUUGGAUUUGGGACUUUGCGUCACCUGCAUAUCUCAUAUCUCAGUUUCUCUGUUUGUGACGGACACGUGCGUCGGCAUCACUGUGAAAAGCCCCUGUUAACUACCCCAUGCUGUGCAUGGCUCAUUACUUUCAAGGUCAUAGCAGUCCCUUACACUUGUCUCUCAUGUUUGUCUUUUUAGAUUUGAUCUAGUGUAUCCUAU